rnacentral:lncRNA from 11 species
UUUGCUUUUCCUCCCCAGGUUUUGCAGAGGAAGAGCAACCCUGACGAAUGCAUUGACCAGCCUUUGCCAUGAGAUUCUCUGCAUCCGUUCCACGUUUCCAGCCAGACCCCGCUUUCUCUUCCCAGCGAUGAGUAAACCGUGAGCAAUGGCUUCCCAUGAAAAGGUGAGGCCUGGGCCAGACGCCAUUCCUAGGAUCAGAAUCACAGAACAAUGGAGUUGGAAGGGACCCCAUGGGCCAUCUAGUCCACCCCCUUCUGCCAUGCAGGAAAAGCACCAUCAAAGUGUUGUCGACCGCGUUUUAGGGGAUCGGGCCCUUAAGGAGAGACCCGAUCCGGUCCUGAGAGAACGGACCUUGGCGAAGCCAAAAGGAGAAUUACGAGCCGCAAUACAACCUGAAGCCGAAAUGAGGAAGGUCCGCCAAAGUUGAAGGAAAAUCCGCCAAGGAGUCUUUAUUGAGCAAUUCAGCUGAAGAGGACUCUAGUAGCGAUCAUUCGGUCUACUAGGGUUCCAUACAAUCAAAAUAAAGCCAUA